GACCAUCCUCCAAGGCUAAAUACUCCUGACUGACCGAUAGUGAACCAGUACCGUGAGGGAAAGGCGAAAAGAACCCCGGCGAGGGGAGUGAAAAAGAACCUGAAACCGUGUACGUACAAGCAGUGGGAGCACAGAGCAAUCUGUGUGACUGCGUACCUUUUGUAUAAUGGGUCAGCGACUUAUAUUCUGUAGCAAGGUUAACCGAAUAGGGGAGCCGAAGGGAAACCGAGUCUUAACUGGGCGUUAAGUUGCAGGGUAUAGACCCGAAACCCGGUGAUCUAGCCAUGGGCAGGUUGAAGGUUGGGUAACACUAACUGGAGGACCGAACCGACUAAUGUUGAAAAAUUAGCGGAUGACUUGUGGCUGGGGGUGAAAGGCCAAUCAAACCGGGAGAUAGCUGGUUCUCCCCGAAAGCUAUUUAGGUAGCGCCUCGUGAAUUCAUCUCCGGGGGUAGAGCACUGUUUCGGCAAGGGGGUCAUCCCGACUUACCAACCCGAUGCAAACUGCGAAUACCGGAGAAUGUUAUCACGGGAGACACACGGCGGGUGCUAACGUCCGUCGUGAAGAGGGAAACAACCCAGACCGCCAGCUAAGGUCCCAAAGUCAUGGUUAAGUGGGAAACGAUGUGGGAAGGCCCAGACAGCCAGGAUGUUGGCUUAGAAGCAGCCAUCAUUUAAAGAAAGCGUAAUAGCUCACUGGUCGAGUCGGCCUGCGCGGAAGAUGUAACGGGGCUAAACCAUGCACCGAAGCUGCGGCAGCGACACUGUGUGUUGUUGGGUAGGGGAGCGU
rnacentral:rRNA from 1 species